AUUGAACGCUGGCGGCAGGCCUAACACAUGCAAGUCGAGCGAGACGCGGACGGGUUACCAAUGUCUGGGCCACUGCGUGAUGGAUGGGGAUCACUACUGGAAACUGUUGCUACUACCGCACACCAUCAGAUGUGCCGGGAUGGGAUUAGCUAGUAGGUGGGGUAAUGGCUUACCUAGGCGACGAUCCCUAGCUGGUCUGAGAGGAUGACCAGCCACACUGGAACUGAGACACGGUCCAGACUCCUACGGGAGGCAGCAGUGGGGAAUAUUGCACAAUGGGCGAAAGCCUGAUGCAGCCAUGCCGCGUGUGUGAAGAAGGCCUUCGGGUUGUAAAGCACUUUAAGUGGGGAGGCGUUACUAGCAGAAGAAGCACCGGCUAACUCCGUGCCAGCAGCCGCGGUAAUAC
rnacentral:rRNA from 1 species